rnacentral:rRNA from 1 species
AUGACCCAGCACGGAACGAGGCACCAGCUGGAGGUGUUCCGCUCCAACGAGACGAAGUGGGGCGUGAGGACGAUGGACCUGAUCCAGCCAAGCGCAUUCCUCCCAAACCAGGUGACCCAGCGCGGAAUGAGGCACCGCCUGGAGGUGUUCCGGUCCAACGAGACGAAGUGGGGCGUGAGGAGGAUGGGCCUGAUCCAGCCGGGCGCAUUCCUUUGCGAGUUCACCGGGGACGUGCUCCCCGCGGACACCCCCGCAUUGCGGGAACGCCAAUGCCAAUACCGGCGCACCGACGGAGGAGCAGGCGCGCUUCAUCGAGCUCGUGGUCCGUGGUGA